CAUAAUAUUAAUAUAACUUAAAAGGAAAAUUCUUAGUUUAUAUAUAUAUUUUUGGUAAACUACAAUAUUAUAAAUCAAACAGAAACAGAUAGAGACAAGGCACCCUCCUUACAAACAAAGGCCAGAGAGGCAGGAAGAUUGCCAGAAACAAAACAAAAAGAAACUAAGGAAACUAAUGUGUACUUUGCUGCCUCAUGAGCAGCAACAUUUCCACUUCUACACACCCAAAGAAAAGAACAUGAAAGGAAAGACUUAGCAAACAAACAAAUAUCAAACACCAGAGUAGAGAUAGGCCAUAAGGGAGAGUCCAAACAGUCCAGGAUGACAUCAAUGGUGAGCUUGGAAUCACUUUCCACACAGAUAUACCUCCAAUGUUCCCCCUUAGCAAGUUGCAAAGCCCAAAGAAUUGCUUCAGCUUCAGCCCUGAGAGGAGAGGACUUUGGGAUGAUCUUUGUCUAGACUUUAAUCACAACACCAAACUCGUUUCUAGCAAUGACUGCCAAAGCCGCUUUAGAAUGAGAGAUGGUUGCGUCCACAUUCAGUUUGAUAGUGCCCAACGGAGGGGUGGACCACUUGGUGACAGAAAACCCAGGGGAAGGGGCUUUAGAACAUGCAAAAACUUGAGAAUAUUCAAUCAUCUUCAUAUGUAUACUUUGGGUAGAGGCAUGGAGAUCAAUGGGGCCACUUUGGUGAAGGACUACAUUCCUGGUGCGCCAGAUCUCUUCAAGAGCGAAAGCCAUGGUGAGGGUCACCAGCCAACGGUCUUGAGCUUGAUAGAUUGCCUGGGGGAGGGGGGGGGAUCUAAGAUAAUCUUGAUAAUGUCAAGAGGAGAUGUUGCUUAGAUAAAAUCUGGCUUGAAACCCCAGCAAGCAGAAAACCAAAGAGCUUUAGCAGCUGGGCAUCUGAGAAAAAGGUGAGAAGUGGAUUCCACUUCUUGGUUACAAAGCACACAACAAGAUUCCGGGAUGUCUAUACGGUAUAACAGGUUUUCCCUUGUAGGAAGGGCAUUAACCGCUACCCUCCAAAUAAACAUUUUAAUCCUUUUUGGGCCUCUAAUUUUCUAGAUCUUAGACCAAUUCACAUCAGCAGAAGCCUGUGGCUGAGGGCUUUGAAGCAACUCUUUGAAGGCAGUUUUAACUGCAAAACACCCUUUGGAAUCCGGCAGCCAAAUGAGCUUGUCUGGUCUAGGCCUUGAAGGGAUAGGGAUGGAUAGGAUAGCUUGGGCUGAGCUGGGAUUAAAGAGAUGUAGAACUAGAGAGGAUUUCUAGGUGUGUAAAUCAAGAUCAAUGAUUUCGGAUACCUUCAUAGGGAUCAGAGCAAAGGUUUCAUCCCUUGGGGAUGGAAUGAAAUUCUGAAUCCAAGGUACCCAUGGAUCAAGCCACAUGUCAACAAACUCACCAUCUUUAAUAAGAAAGUAAGCUCCUUUCUUCACCACUGAUUUUGCCUUCUCAAUAGCUUUCCAUAUGGGUGAUGCGAGCUUUGGAGGUUCUACCUGAAACCAGUCAUCUUUGACCUUAUACUUAGCUCUAAUGAUACUCAUGUAGAGGCUGUUUCUUUUGGAUACAAUCAUCCAUGCUAGCUUUGCCAACAGGGCAGAGUUUACAUUUUUUGCUUUCUUGAAACCCAAACCCCCCACAUUCUUUGGGCAACAAAGGUUGUCCUAGGAUUUCCAAGCCAUAAAUCUGCCCUUACUCUGGUUGGGUUUCCCCCAAAACCUUCUAGCUAAGGAGUCCAGCUUCUCACAUACUUUAUUGGGGAUGCUAAAGGUGGACAUGGUGUAGUUUGGGACGGAUUGCACCACAGCAUUGAUGAGGGUUUUCAUCCAUGUCCAAGAUAAGUACUUGCUUCUCCAUCCCAUAAGUUUUGCUUUGAGUUUGUCUUAGAGAAAAGUGAAAUCUUUGGAUGGUGCUCUAGUCAGAAACAUCGAGGCUCCAAGGUAUAUUGCAUCCUUUUUGAGGCUCUUUACUUGGAGAAUUUCCUUGUCAGACCUUCGGGUUUGGUUUUGGGUGUGCUUGGAAAAGAAAACUCCCGAUUUGUUUCUAUUAAUAGCCUGCUCAGAUCAGUUGUAGUAUUUCUCCAAGGUUCUCAUUAAGCUUGUUGCAUCUCUACUGGAUGCUUUUGAAAACAAAACUAUGUCGUCGACGUACAUGACAUGGGAGAUGGUAGGACCGCUGAUGCUAGUCUUGAUUCCAACAAUAUUUUUUAAGCUGAGUUCUUUUUGAAGCGGCUUGGAUAACACUUCUUGCCCUAAGAUAAAUAGAUACAGCGAUAGUGGAUCGCCUUGUCUUAAUCCCCUACACAGCUUGAAAGAUUCUGAUUUUCCCCCAUUGACGAUCACUUCGAAGGAAACCAAUGAAACACAAGCCAUGAUCCAUUUAGUGAAAGUUUCAUUGAAUUCGAAGUGGAGCAGCACCACUUGCAGGAACUUCCAAUUGACCCUGUCGUAAGCCUUUUGAAGGUCGAGUUUGAUAGCCAUUAGCCCCGGAUUUGUUUUACGGGUCUUGAAACUGUGGAGGAGCUCCUGGACAAUUAUUUGAUUUUUUGCGAUCCACCUGUUUGGGAUGAAUGCCAAUUGAGAAGGGGUAACCAUUUUGUCUAGCAACGGCCGGAGUUUAUCCACAAGGAGUUUGGAAAUGAUUUUGUAGACCACAUUACAUAGGCUAAUUAGCUUGAAAUGAUUAACAGAUGUGGGAUUAGAAAUCUUUGGAAUAAGAACUAUCAAGGAAUUGUUUAUCUCUUUUGGCAUAGAGCUCAUGGUAAAGAAGGAGGUGACAGCCUUAACAACAUCAAAACUCACAGUAGACUAGGCUUGUUUGUAAAAGAGAACUGGGAAGCCGUCCGGCCUCGGGGCCUUUAGGUCCUGCAUCUGGAACAGGGUCGAUUUGAUCUCCUCCGGAGUGGGGGAUGGUUUGUAGUACUUCAUUUUCUUCCUCAGUGAUGCAAGGCAGGAUCAAAUGCUCUAGGUGGUCAGGGAAGCAGGUAUCCUCUUCUUCAAACAAAUUUUUGUAGUUUUCCCGGAAAAGUAGUCUAAUCAGGCUUGAUUCAUGGAUCCAAGUUCCGUCUUCAUUUUUUUAUUGCAUCUAUAUGAUUACUUCUCCUUCGAAUUAUCGUAGACAAAUGAAAGAAUUUGGAGUUUUUGUCUCCCUGCUUCAGCCAUAAUUCCCUGGAUUUUUGCUGCCAUAACACUUCACUCUUGAGCAACCAUUCAGAUAGCUGAGAUUGGAGUGCACUCUCCACAAGCUCAUUUUCCUGGGAAGGUACUAUCAAUGACUGCCUUGCACCCAUCAUCCCUAAGCCAAACUGCCUCGAACCUAAAAGGCUUGUGAGCGAAACUAUCAGACAGGUUUGUGUCAAGUAGGAUCGGGGCAUGGUCAGAGUUAAUAGCUCCCAGGUGUUGAAUAGUUUCGUUUGGAAAAGCCAACUACCAGGAGAUGCUUGCCACGCCCCUGUCAAGUCUCCUUUUAAUAGAAGCUUUUCCCCAUUUCCCUCUAGUCCAAGUGAACUUGUUCCUAAAAUACCCGAAAUCCACUGCAUUUAGCUCAAACAUUAGCUCUUUUAGAUCAUUUGCAACCGAGGAUCCUCCUUUGUUGCCACCCAUUUGCUCAUCUUCAUUGAUAAUGAAGUUGAAAUCUCCAAUGCAUGCCCACGGCUCUUGGUGGGAUUCAGUUAAGGCAAAGAGAUUACCCUAGGAUUUUCUCUUUUUUGAGUGAUAAGGAGGUCAAUAAAACCCCACUAGAAGCCAGUCCGUGCACUAAUUAGAGACUCUGGCUGCUAUAAGGUUUUUGUCAAAUUCAACUUCACUAAUGGAUAGGCCCUCCUUCCACAACAUACAUAGACCACCUACACUUCCCUUAGCUUCAACAACAACUCUAUAAUUAAACUUAAUAAAACUUUUAACGAAUUCCAUACGAACAACAUCCACUUUUGUUUCAGAGAGGAAAACCACAUCGAGUCUUGCCCUUUUUAUUUGAGCCCCAAGGGCUCAAACUAUUGAGGCGUUGCAGAUGCCUCGACAAUCCAACUAAGAAUCCUUAUGGGGAGGUUGAAGGCAUGAUAAGGCCCACCUCUACGGCUGUAGAAAUAGUGGUAGAAAUAGCUGAGUUAGAAAACAUAGAGUACGGAGAAAAGUAAGGUUUUGGGUGGAGCUCACCAUGGUUUUUGGGUAUGUUCUUUUCCUUUAGCAAGAAGGAUUCCAGCCUUGACCUUGGAAUGAAAGUGGCAAUGACGAGGUUGAAAUACACUGGGUCAGGACCUUCGACGGCAUACCUUAAUCUUUUGGAGAACUGAUCUAGCACAGAACUGGACACCUUCCUUUUAAGAAUGUUUGGGUGAGAUUUUGAGGAGGUUGGUGAUAAGGGGUCUGUGGUAGCGGUGUGGUAUUAUGAAGGGGUGUCGGAUAGAACAUUUGGGGUUGAUAGGAUCACAGGUUUCGUUGGAUUUUGGGAUUUAGGUCAGUAUGAUCGAAAAUGAAUUGAGUCGUGGUGUUGGUAAGUGUUUUUGGGCUAGAAGAUUUUGGACUUUGUAGUAAGGGAUUUUUGUGUUGGUUAGUUUCAUGGGAUGGGCUUUGUGGUAAGGAAAUCUUGUGUUGGUUAGUUUCAGGAGAUGAGUUAAGUGGGGGGUUGGUAGGGGAAUUAGGUGGGCUGGGGCUUUGGAUAGAAGUAAGCCCAAUUUUGACAGGUGUCAAGAGGAUAAAAUCAUGAUAGGGCUGGCUGAUGUUGGUAUGCAACUUAGGAGAUGAUAAGCCUUGAUGAUCGUGCGCUAGCUGUGUCGAAUCAGCCCCUAGAUUCCCGGUCCUUGGUGAGUCCUUGCUCUUGUGCAUAGGUGCUCCUUUGUCACUAACGGUUUUUGUACCUUCCCCAGUUGUCCACGUGUCAGCCAUUUGAAGGGGACCACUAGAAUGAAUGCACAGUGGUGCUUUCUAGUACUCCGGUGUGGCAGCUCCCUGCGGGUAGGAGGUGGACGAUGUGUCAUUGGACAAAUCCUCCAAAACACCUUCUAGGAUUUCUUCACUUUCUGAUCUAAGCAAUGGACCAGCUGCCUUAAAGGAUUUUCCAGUUGGGGUGCAAAGGCUAAACAACUCAGAUGAGCAAUUAUUUUGAUCAUGCCUAAUAACACCACAAUGAUAGCAAAUAUCCACAACUUUCUCGUAUUUUAAACCAAUCCACAAGUCCUUCUUGUUUGGCCAAGGCAUGAACUCACUAGGGAUUAAUGGGGAGUCAAUAUCCACUUCUACUCUAACCCUUAUAAAUGUUCUCCAUGCUCCACCAGCAUCCCCAAUCAGGUCCACAUCCAAGACAAAGCCCACUUUGGAACCAACCUUCCUAAGGUUUUCCUCCGUUCUCCAGAGAGUGGGUAGACCAUGGACUUGAACCCAAAUAGUGGAAGAAGAGAACUCCACUUCCUGCCAUGUUAAAUCUGGGCUCCACCUUUUUAGGACCAUAUGCCCUCCUCUGAUGGACCAUGGCCUCUUUGUGAAAACUUUGUUAAGAUCUACUUCAUGUUGGAAGAUGAACAUAAGGUAUUCUUGCCAAGCCUUUUGAUUUUCGUCGGAAAAACUAGUUUCCACACCUUUAAAGUGACUUCUUUGACCAUAUUGAAACUGAUGGUUUUGUGGGUGAUGAUUUUUGCUAUAAGGAUGAGGUUAGGUGGUUUUUGGUUAUCUUAGUUUGGAGGGAGCUCUAUUAUAAUGUCUUUGUAGGAGCAUUUCUCCGUCCUAGAUACUAAGUCGGAGACCUCCAUGGUGGAGGCUAGGACUAUGAGGAGAUAUGCUUGAUUGUGUGUUUACAGGGAGAGAAAGGACAGGUAUGGGUAUGGUGGUAGAGGCUAGGAAAAGGAAACCAAAAAAGUACCAAAAAAGGGGAGAGACUAAGACUAGCUUAGGUGAAAGGGGAAAGGGGAGAAUGUAUCAAAAAAGUACGGAGAGAAAGAAAAAGAAAAAAACAGUUGAACCAAUUAAAAUGGUUGUAAUAUAGUGAAUUUUAGAGAGGGAGAUUCUUCUUAAUUUAUAUUGUACUAUUAAUGUAAGAUUUACAUUAUUUCUAAAUAAAUGUGUACAAUAUAGUACACUUUCAUGCAAACGUGUACAAUAUUGUCCAAUCUACAAUGUAAAUUUUACAUUGAUAGUACAAUGUAAACAUAUAAUAACUGUCCAUAACUUAAAUAUGAUAACAAUUAAGCUUAAAUAAUUGAGCAAAUACAAUGAUAAACCAGUAACAUAUAUUGUGAACUGAUGUCACGUAAUGUACUUAAAUAUUACCAAAGAGAAAACUCAAUUUCAGAGAAAGCUUGAGGAAAAUUGCCUUUGUUACAAGCCAAGGACUUGGAACCUAAGGUUAGAAACAAUAUUAACUCGUAAUCAUUUGUUAGAAUUUGUUGUAUUGCAGUGAUAACGUAGAUACCCAACAGUAACACGAUGGAAUGAUUCUAAUACAUCUUGGAAACUUGAACUUUGCAAUGACACAAUGAUGGAAGGGUUCUUUUACAUGUACAUCUUUGUGAUAAUUAUACUGGUUGACAUGGCUAGUAGAUUAUAUCAGUAUUAUAGCUCUGUUUUUUAAUACCUAUCCAUGACAUUAACAUUAAUAGUGAAUGGUAUAUAAAACAAAACAAAGAAAGGAGACCGUAAAGUAAAGGACUAGGUGCGGCACUUUCUCCUUUUUAUCUAUGUUUCUAUUGGAUUGUACAUGGCAGCCAACAUCAAUGAAUAAAGGCAGGAGGCAUCUACAAUGGAAAAGAUAUAAAGAGUUUAAGAUACAAAUUUGACACUUAUUGAUAUGAUAGAUUGUUAGUGGCAAAUAAAAAAAUGAUGUCAAUAGUGAACUUAAAUGAGAACCAAUUCAAGCUUGCCUAUUCAAUUUUUAUAAAAAAAUGUUGUCAAAAAAUGGAUGGGUAUGACAGGAACAAGAAUAACAAGACUCAAGAAACUAAGCAAAUCUAUCCUCACUAGCAGUGUAUCAUUAUGUGUAUGUAUAAAUAAAAUUUCUACUAA